ensembl:lncRNA
AUGAUGAUAAGAUGUUUAAUGUUUAGAUACAUGAUGAUAAGAUGUUUCAUGAUAAGAUGUUUCAUGUUUAGAUACAUGAUAAGAUGUUUCAUGUUUAUAUACAUGAUGAUAAGAUGUUUCAUGUUUAGAUACAUGUAGUAUAUGAUAAGAUGUUUCAUGUUUAGAUACAUGUAGUAUAUGAUAAGAUGUUUCAUGUUUAGAUACAUGUAGUACAUGAUGAUAAGAUGUUUAAUGUUUAGAUACAAGUAGUAUAUGAUGAUAAGAUGUUUCAUUUUUAGAUACAUGUAGUAUAUGAUGAUUAGAUGUUUCAUUUUUAGAUACAGGUAGUAUAUGAUGAUAAGAUGAUUAAUGUUUAGAUACAUGAUGAUAAGAUGUUUAAUGUUUAGAUACAUGAUGAUAAGAUGUUUAAUGUUUAGAUACAUGUAGUAUAUGAUGAUAAGAUGUUUCAUGUUUAGAUACAUGAUGAUAAGAUGUUUCAUGUUUAGAUACAUGUAGUAUAUUAUAAGAUGUUUCAUGUUUAGAUACAUGUAGUAUAUGAUAAGAUGUUUCAUGUUUAUGAUUAUUAUGAUGUUUAUGUAUGAUGAUAAGAUGAUUCAUGUUUAGAUACAUAUAGUAUAUAUGAUGAUAAGAUGUUUCAUGUUUAGAUACAUGUAGUAUAUGAUAAGAUGUUUCAUGUUUAGAUACAUGUAGUGUAUGAUAAGAUGAUUCAUGUUUAGAUACAUGUAGUAUAUGAUGAUAAGAUGUUUCAUGUUUAGAUACAUGAUGAGAAGAUGUUUCAUGUUUAGAUACAUGUAGUAUAUGAUGAUAAGAUGUUUCAUGUUUAGAUACAUGUAGUAUAUGAUGAUUAGAUGUUUAAUGUUUAGAUACAUGAUGAUAAGUUGUUUCAUGAUAAGAUGUUUCAUGUUUAGAUACAUGAUGAUAAGAUGUUUAAUGUUUAGAUACAAGUAGUAUAUGAUGAUAAGAUGUUUCAUGUUUAGAUACAUGUAGUAUAUGAUGAUUAGAUGUUUAAUGUUUAGAUACAUGAUGAUAAGUUGUUUCAUGAUAAGAUGUUUCAUGUUUAGAUACAUGAUGAUAAGAUGUUUCAUGUUUAGAUACAUGUAGUAUAUGAUAAGAUGUUUCAUGUUUAGAUACAUGUAGUAUAUGAUGAUAAGAUGAUUCAUGUUUAGAUACAUGUAGUAUAUGAUGAUUAGAUGUUUCAUUUUUAGAUACAGGUAGUAUAUGAUGAUAAGAUGAUUAAUGUUUAGAUACAUGAUGAUAAGAUGUUUAAUGUUUAGAUACAUGAUGAUAAGAUGUUUCAUGUUUAGAUACAUGUAGUAUAUUAUAAGAUGUUUCAUGUUUAGAUACAUGUAGUGUAUGAUAAGAUGAUUCAUGUUUAGAUAUGAUGAUGAUGAUGAUAAGAUGUUUAAUGUUUAGAUACAUGAUGAUAAGAUGUUUAAUGUUUAGAUACAUGUAAUAGUAACAUAAUGUUUAGUAAACAUGAUGAUUAGAUGUUUCAUUUUUAGAUACAUGUAGUAUAUGAUGAUAAGAUGAUUCAUGUUUAGAUACAUGAUGAUAAGAUGUUUAAUGUUUAGAUACAUGAUGAUAAGAUGUUUAAUGUUUAGAUACAUGUAGUAUAUGAUGAUAAGAUGUUUCAUGUUUAGAUACAUGAUGAUAAGAUGUUUCAUGUUUAGAUACAUGUAGUAUAUGAUGAUAAGAUGUUUCAUGUUUAGAUACAUGUAGUAUAUUAUAAGAUGUUUCAUGUUUAGAUACAUGUAGUAUAUGAUAAGAUGUUUCAUGUUUAGGUACAUGUAGUAUAUGAUAAGAUGUUUCAUGUUUAGAUACAUGUAGUAUAUGAUGAUAAGAUGUUUCAUGUUUAGAUACAUGUAGUAUAUGAUGAUAAGAUGUUUCAUGUUUAGAUACAUGUAGUAUAUUAUAAGAUGUUUCAUGUUUAGAUACAUGUAGUAUAUGAUAAGAUGUUUCAUGUUUAGGUACAUGUAGUAUAUGAUAAGAUGUUUCAUGUUUAGAUACAUGUAGUAGUAUGAGAUGAUAAGAUGUUUCAUGUUUAGAUACAUGUAGUAUAUGAUAAGAUGUUUCAUGUUUAGAUACAUGUAGUAUAUGAUAAGAUGUUUCAUGUUUAGAUACAUGUAGUAUAUGAUAAGAUGAUUCAUGUUUAGAUACAUGAUGAUAAGAUGUUUAAUGUUUAGAUACAUGAUGAUAAGAUGUUUGAUGUUUAGAUACAUGUAGUAUAUGAUGAUAAGAUGUUUCAUGUUUAGAUAUAUGUAGUAUAUGAUAAGCUGUUUCAUGUUUAGAUACAUGUAGUAUAUUAUAAGAUGUUUCAUGUUUAGAUACAUGUAGUGUAUGAUAAGAUGAUUCAUGUUUAGAUACAUGUAGUAUAUGAUGAUUAGAUGUUUCAUGUUUAGAUACAUGUAGUGUAUGAUGAUAAGAUGAUUCAUGUUUAGAUACAUGUAGUAUAUGAUGAUUAGAUGUUUCAUUUUUAGAUACAUGUAGUAUAUGAUGAUAAGAUGUUUCAUGUUUAGAUACAUGUAGUAUAUGAUGAUAAGAUGUUUCAUGUUUAGAUACAUGUAGUAUAUUAUAAGAUGUUUCAUGUUUAGAUACAUGUAGUAUAUGAUAAGAUGUUUCAUGUUUAGAUACAUGUAGUGUAUGAUAAGAUGAUUCAUGUUUAGAUACAUGUAGUAUAUGAUGAUUAGAUGUUUCAUGUUUAGAUACAUGUAGUGUAUGAUGAUUAGAUGUUUCAUUUUUAGAUACAUGUAGUAUAUGAUGAUAAGAUGAUUCAUGUUUAGAUACAUGAUGAUAAGAUGUUUAAUGUUUAGAUACAUGAUAAGAUGUUUCAUGAUAAGAUGUUUCAUGUUCAUAUACAUGAUGAUAAGAUGUUUCAUGUUUAGAUACAUGUAGAUACAUGAUGAUAGAUGUUUAAUGUUUAGAUACAUGAUAAUAAGAUGUUUAAUGGUUAGAUACAUGAU